GGGAGCUGAUCAGUGAAGGCAAUCAUUCCAUGUGCAGCCAAUUAGAGCUAGCAUGCGCCAAUCAACACAUCAGUGGGUGGAACAGUGGGUCACUCUCUGUGAUGCCAUGUGUAGAACUGCUGUCUCAUCCCUAAAUCACCACUUGGCUACAUGUAACUUCAACCAACAGCUUUGAGAAGUCUCUCCAUGGCGUCUUCUGUGGCCACGUCAAGAGGAAGCUCUCCUUCACUGUUCACCGUUCCGACAUGGGCACCAUGCUCUAUCAGCCACAGGACGCUGCAGCGUGCAGAGGAGUCCAGCCCUCGUUGUCCCCUCUGUUGACAUCACUCCCGCUCUCCACCAGAAACUGCACCAUCUCAGCAUUUUCAUCAAUGCAGGCC